UGCAGAUGAUGUAACUGAAUAUUUGCUAUCUUAACUACACUGUAGACAUUCUUCCACCAAGAUCGCUGAUGCA